GUAACCCUUUUAAGCUGUAAGAUUAAUUUGCCAAGUUUAGUAUACAAAAUAAUGUACACAUCUGGUACAUCAUAACCGUAUCAUGAUUGGAAUUAAACAGGGUAGUAAAUGCACCAUUCAAAAGUGACUGAACUCCAUAAAAUGUAUUUGCUAUAUUGAUAGCACAACCUAAGCAGUAAACUCCACUUUUCCAGGUUGGAAGAAGUACCUUGAUUAUA